GUAGUCUGNAACCCGACUACAUGAAGCUGGAAUCGCUAGUAAUCGCGGAUCAGAAUGCCGCGGUGAAUACGUUCCCGGGUCUUGUACACACCGCCCGUCACACCAUGGGAGUCGGAAAUGCCCGAAGUCUGUGACCCAACCUGAGAAGGAGGGAGCAGCCGAAGGCAGGUCGGAUGACUGGGGUGAAGUCGUAACAAGGUAAC
rnacentral:rRNA from 1 species